GGAUCCAGACUUUGGAUCAUGGCUCAGGAUGAACGCUAGCUACAGGCUUAACACAUGCGAGUCGAGGGGCAGCAUGGUCUUAGCUUGCUAAGGCCGAUGGCGACCGGCGCGCGGGUGAGUAACACGUAUCCAACCUGCCGUCUACUCUUGGACAGCCUUCUGAAAGGAAGAUUAAAACAAGAUGGCAUCAUGAGUUCACAUGUUCACAUGAUUAAAGGUAUUCCGGUAGACGAUGGGGAUGCGUUCCAUUAGAUAGUAGGCGGGGUAACGGCCCACCUAGUCUUCGAUGGAUAGGGGUUCUGAGAGGAAGGUCCCCCACAUUGGAACUGAGACACGGUCCAAACUCCUACGGGAGGCAGCAGUGAGGAAUAUUGGUCAAUGGGCGAGAGCCUGAACCAGCCAAGUAGCGUGAAGGAUGACUGCCCUAUGGGUUGUAAACUUCUUUUAUAAAGGAAUAAAGUCGGGUAUGGAUACCCGUUUGCAUGUACUUUAUGAAUAAGGAUCGGCUAACUCCGUGCCAGCAGCCGCGGUAAUACGGAGGAUCCGAGCGUUAUCCGGAUUUAUUGGGUUUAAAGGGAGCGUAGAUGGAUGUUUAAGUCAGUUGUGAAAGUUUGCGGCUCAACCGUAAAAUUGCAGUUGAUACUGGAUAUCUUGAGUGCAGUUGAGGCAGGCGGAAUUCGUGGUGUAGCGGUGAAAUGCUUAGAUAUCACGAAGAACUCCGAUUGCGAAGGCAGCCUGCUAAGCUGCAACUGGCAUUGAGGCUCGAAAGUGUGGGUAUCAAACAGGAUUAGAUACCCUGGUAGUCCACACGGUGAACGAUGAAUACUCGCUGUUGGGCGAUAUA
rnacentral:rRNA from 1 species